rnacentral:rRNA from 1 species
CAACGGGUGAAGCCGGGCGACUCUGGCGGGACGUGCCAUCGACAAGAUGGAGGAAGGUGGGGAGUGAUGUCAAGUCAUCAUGGCCCUUAUGUCCAGGGCGACACACGUGCUACAAUGGCCGGCACAGCGGGAAGCGAGGCAGUGAUGCCAAGCGGAUCCCUUAAAGCCGGUCUCAGUUCGGAUUGAAGUCUGCAACUCGACUUCAUGAAGCUGGAAUCGCUAGUAAUCGCAGAUCAGCCAAGCUGCGGUGAAUACGUUCCCGGGCCUU